rnacentral:rRNA from 1 species
GCGAAUCGCCCUUCGGGGUGCACCAGGCGCGAAAACUUUACAAUGCCGGCAACGGCGAUAAGGGAACCUCGAGUGCCAGGUUACAAAUCUGGCUGUCGUGAUGCCUAAAAAGCAUUGCAUAGCAAGGGCCGGGCAAGACCGGUGCCAGCCGCCGCGGUAACACCGGCGGCUCGAGUGGUAACCGUUAUUAUUGGGUCUAAAGGGUCUGUAGCCGGCCGGGUAAGUCUCUUGGGAAAUCUGGCAGCUUAACUGUCAGGCUUUCAGGAGAUACUGCCUGGCUCGAGGCCGGGAGAGGUGAGAGGUACUUCAGGGGUAGGGGUGAAAUCUUGUAAUCCUUGAAGGACCACCAGUGGCGAAGGCGUCUCACCAGAACGGACCUGACGGCAAGGGACGAAAGCUAGGGGCACGAACCGGAUUAGAUACCCGGGUAGUCCUAGCCGUAAACGAUACUCGCUAGGUGUCGGCCACGGUGCGACCGUGGUCGGUGCCGUAGGGAAGCCGUGAAGCGAGCCACCUGGGAAGUACGGCCGCAAGGCUGAAACUUAAAGGAAUUGGCGGGGGAGCA